rnacentral:tRNA from 3 species
UGGGUUGCCCGGGAUUCGAACCCGGAACUAGUCGGCCGCACUUAAAAGCCGAGUACUCUACCGUUGAGUUAG